rnacentral:rRNA from 1 species
CUGGCUCAGGAUGAACGCUAGCUACAGGCUUAACACAUGCAAGUCGAGGGGCAGCAUUGGGAUAGCUUGCUAUUCAGAUGGCGACCGGCGCACGGGUGAGUAACGCGUAUCCAACCUUCCUGCCAGUAGGGAACAGCCCGGCGAAAGUCGGAUUAAUGCCCUAUGUUCUUCAAUGCGGACAUCUAAGUUGAAGGAAAGAUUCAUCGCUGGCAGAUGGGGAUGCGUCCGAUUAGCUUGCCGGCGGGGUAACGGCCCACCGGGGCGACGAUCGGUAGGGGUUCUGAGAGGAAGGUCCCCCACACUGGUACUGAGACACGGACCAGACUCCUACGGGAGGCAGCAGUGAGGAAUAUUGGUCAAUGGGCGUAAGCCUGAACCAGCCAAGUAGCGUGCAGGAUGACGGCCCUACGGGUUGCAAACUGCUUUUAUGCGGGGAUAAAGUGCGGCACGUGUGCCGCUUUGCAGGUACCGCAUGAAUAAGGACCGGCUAAUUCCGUGCCAGCCGCUGC